rnacentral:rRNA from 1 species
AUAGCAGAGAUUGAACUGAAGAGUUUGAUCCUGGCUCAGAUUGAACGCUGGCGGAAUGCUUUACACAUGCAAGUCGAACGGCAGCACGGGAGCUUGCUC